UGCCAGCCGCCGCGGUAAUGCGGAGGGGGCUAGCGUUGUUCGGAUUUACUGGGCGUAAAGCGCGUGCAGGCGGCUUGUUAAGUCGUGCGUGAAAGCUCCCUGGCUCAACCGGGAGAGGUCGUGCGAUACUGGCAAGCUUGAGACAGGUAGAGGCAGGUAGAAUUCCAGGUGUAGUGGUGAAAUGCGUAGAUAUUCGGAGGAACACCAGUGGCGAAGGCGGCUUUCUGGACCGAUACUGACGCUGAGACGCGAAAGCGUGGGGAGCAAACAGGAUUAGAUA
rnacentral:rRNA from 1 species